AGCGAACGCUGGCGGCAGGCCUAACACAUGCAAGUCGAACGAACCUUUCGGGGUUAGUGGCGGACGGGUGAGUAACACGUGGGAACGUGCCUUUAGGUUCGGAAUAACUCAGGGAAACUUGUGCUAAUACCGAAUGUGCCCUUCGGGGGAAAGAUUUAUCGCCUUUAGAGCGGCCCGCGUCUGAUUAGCUAGUUGGUUGAGGUAAUGGCUCACCAAGGCGACGAUCAGUAGCUGGUCUGAGAGGAUGAUCAGCCACAUUGGGACUGAGACACGGCCCAAACCUCUACGGGAGGGAGCAGUGGGGGAACUUGCGCAAUUGGCCGAAGCCCGACCGCGCCAUUGCGCGUGGAAUGAUGAAGUCUUUGGAUUGUAAAAUUCUUUCACCGGGGACGAUAAUGACGGUACCCGGAGAAGAAGCCCCGGCUAACUUCGUG
rnacentral:rRNA from 1 species